rnacentral:tRNA from 1 species
GGCUCCGUAGUUCAACUGGAUAGAAUAUCAGAUUUCGGCUCUGAGGGUUGGGGGUUCGAAUCCCUCCGGUGCCA